CGGUUGAUCCUGCCGGAGGUCACUGCUAUUGGGAUUCGACUAAGCCAUGCGAGUCGAGAGGGUUCGGCCCUCGGCUGACGGCUCAGUAACACGUGGAUAAUCUGCCNUUAGGUGGAGGAUACCCUCGGGAAACUGAGAAUAAUACUCCAUAGGCCUAGGAUGCUGGAAUGCACCUAGGCUGAAAGUUCCGGCGCCUAAGGAUGAGUCUGCGGACUAUCAGGUUGUAGUCAGGGUAAAGACCUGACUAGCNUACGACGGAUACGGGUUGUGAGAGCAAUAACCCGGAGAUGAUAUCUGAGACACGAUAUCAGGCCCUACGGGGCGCAGCAGGCGCGAAAACUUCACACUGUGCGAAAGCACGAUGAGGGAAUCCCAAGUGCUUGCACGUAAGUGUAAGCUGUUUUUCUGUCUAAAACACAGAGAGAGUAAGAGCUGGGUAAGACGGGUGCCAGCCGCCGCGGUAAUACCUGCAGCUCAAGUGGUGGCCGCUAUUAUUGGGCCUAAAACGUUCGUAGCCGGUUUAGUAAAUGCCUGGGUAAAUCGUGUAGCUUAACUAUACGACUUCCGGGUAGACUGCUAAACUUGAGACCGGGAGAGGCUAGAGGUACUCCUGGGGUAGAGGUGAAAUUCUGUAAUCCUAGGGGGACCACCAGUGGCGAAGGCGUCUAGCUAGAACGGGUCUGACGGUGAGGGACGAAGCCCUGGGGCACAAACCGGAUUAGAUACCCGGGUAGUCCAGGGUGUAAACGCUGCUUGCUUGAUGUUAGUUGGGCUCCGAGCCCAACUAGUGUCGGAGAGAAGUUGUUAAGCAAGCUGCCUGGGAAGUACGGUCGCAAGGCUGAAACUUAAAGGAAUUGGCGGGGGAGCAC
rnacentral:rRNA from 1 species